rnacentral:lncRNA from 1 species
AGUUCUGUUUGUUAGAGAAAAUACCGCACUGACAAUUCUAUGGUGGUUAAGAUCUAACUAAUUUUGUGAUAAAGAUAAAGUCGAACUUACAAAUAAACGCAAACAUUAAAAUAAAGAUUUGAUCUUAUGCGAAAGCAUGCGAGGUAUUGCGCUAAGACGUAUUCACGUUCUUACGUGCGGGAUUAACCGGAAACAACUCCCCAAGAUACGACCGAAAUUUUUCCUCUUGCGAGCACAAUCGUAAAGAAAGUUAACGGAGAUUCUUUCAACACCCAAUGAAUAAGAAAAAUAUUCAAAUAAUGAAAAAUAAAAGAAUUAAUGAAUAAGAAUUAACAAAUUAUCUAAUAUCUUUAUGUCUAUUCUCACUAAACAGAGAAGGAAAAGAGGAAGAAAUUUCCUCUUUUUUUUUAAAAAAGCGGACCAGGAUUCUGUUUAGCUCAAAACGAAACAGAAGAAUAUUCCAUUGGUUUCUUUUUCACUAAAAAAAAUAUAUAAAUAAGAUUAAAUAAAUAAAAUAAUAAAAAUAAUAAAUAAUAAAUAACGAUAAAUAUUAAAUAAAUAAUUCAAAAUUUAAUAAAUAAAAUUUAAAUUUUAAAAUUUUGAAAAUUUCACC